GGCAACAUGCCAGAGUGGUUAAUGGGUAUGACUCGAAUGAUUUCCCCACCAUGGGAAAUGGACUCUAUCAUAUGGCUUCGGCCGCGCAGGUUCGAAUCCUGCUGUUGUCG
rnacentral:tRNA from 1 species